rnacentral:rRNA from 1 species
AAUGAACGUUGGCGGCGUGGAUUAGGCAUGCAAGUCGAGCGGGAGUAGCAAUACUCUAGCGGCGGAAGGGACAGGAAUGCGUAGAUUACGUACCCCUAGGACUGGAAUAGCUGCGGGAAACUGCAGGUAAUGCCAGAUAAUAUCUUCGGCUCAAAGGUGUGAUUCCGCCUAGGGAGCGGUCUACGUCCUAUUAGUUAGUUGGUGGGGUAAUGGCCUACCAAGACUUUGAUGGGUGGCGGGUGUGAGAGCACGACCCGCGUCACUGGGACUGAGACACUGCCCAGACACCUACGGGUGGCUGCAGUCGAGAAUCUUCGGCAAUGGGCGAAAGCCUGACCGAGCGACGCCGCGUGCGGGAUGAAGGCCUUCGGGUUGUAAACCGCUGUCAAUGGGGAGGAAGGCUGCGUGAAGAGCGCAGUUUGACCUAUCUUUGGAGGAAGGACGGGCUAAGUUCGUGCCAGCCGCCGCAGUAAUAC